AACGAGCGCUGGCGGCAGGCUUAACACAUGCAAGUCGAGCGCCCCGCAAGGGGAGCGGCAGACGGGUGAGUAACGCGUGGGAAUCUACCCAUCUCUACGGAAUAACGCAUGGAAACGUGUGCUAAUACCGUAUACGUCCUUCUGGUGAAAGGUUUAUCGGAGAUGGAUGAGCCGGCGUUGGAUUAGAUAGUUGGUGGGGUAAAGGCCUACCAAGGCGACGAUCAAUAGCUGGUCCGAGAGGAUGAUCAGCCACACUGGGACUGAGACACGGCCCAGACUCCUACGGGAGGCAGCAGUGGGGAAUAUUGGACAAUGGGCGCAAGCCUGAUCCAGCCAUGCCGCGUGAGUGAUGAAGGCCCUAGGGUUGUAAAGCUCUUUCACCGGUGAAGAUAAUGACGGUAACCGGAGAAGAAGCCCCGGCUAACUUCGUGCCAGCAGCCGCGGUAACAC
rnacentral:rRNA from 1 species